GUCUUUUGAGGGAGCAACGAUUACUACCAUACCUGUGAUGACGUAAUCGAAUUACGGGUCCAUUCCCCUUCCUUGCUAGUGGUUUCAUUACCGUCUUGAACGCAGUGGUAAGUGUACACGGUGUUUCGUUGCUCCGACAAUUACAGAUUUCCAAGAAUUUCACGAGUUAGAAUAUAGAGUAUCGAAUACACCAGUUUUAUACGUCUCUUCGAUACGUAUAGGUAAGUCUAUCUCAUUUUAAUAACAAAGGCGUAAUAAAAAGUAAAACAUAAUAAAAACAUAUAGGUAUAUACAGCAUGGAGAUCGCAUUAUUCUGUUGUAUAUAUAUAUUUCCAAGGAAUUCUACGACUGAGAUCAGAACAAAAACAGUCGAGUGUCGAACUCUCUGAAGGUCAGAGAAGAGAUCGUUAUUCAAAAAGCACUGAUUAAUUUCAUUGUAAUUACGUAUUUUAUUACGGAACAUUUUUAUUUUAACUUUAUCGCAAUUAUUUCAAUAUUAUAGAAAUUUUAUUAUUUUAUAUGAUGCUAUAGGAAUUCGUAUAUUUUUUAGGUUAUUCUUCAUCGAAUUUACUCGUGCAGCUAUUAUUUCAUUUUAUAAUUAUUACAUAUUAUGACAGAAUUUAUUACAUUUUUAUUAACAAUUGGAUCUUUGUAUGCAGUUACCUCCAAGUGAUGAGACCUGGGUAAUCGAUAUUGUAUGAGUUUGUAUUUUAAGAUACAAAGCAAACACUAUCGAGCAAUUAGCUGCAUACUUUAGUACAUUUUUAACUUUCAAUAAUAUUAUAAUUUUUUAAACAGUUUUUAAUGUACGCAGAAUACAAAAAACUAAUAUUUAAACAAUAGUACAUUCGUUCAACAUCGCAAAGAUCGCGAGAAACUUAAAAUAACUUCGAUUUAA